AGUGAAGAGUUCAGUGCAGUACUGAAAUGUGCAUCUUUCCUUACAAUUCCUGUCGGCCAGCUGUAUCUUUAUUGUUGGGCAGCGACUAAUGUAACAGCACAGGCAGAGCCGGUCUCGGCAGCAAUAUACAGCUGCUCUUGGGUGGACGCUAGUGAGCGUUUCAAGCGUGCUCUGAGGAUCAUCAUCAGUCGCUCACAGAAGCCGCUGGUUCUCACCGCCGGACACCUCUACCCCAUCGACAAGGGAGCGUUCCUCACGUUGGUAAAUGCCUCUUACUCAUACUACGCAUUGCUGAGUCAAAUGUACAAUCGCUAGAGGCGUCAACGACAAGAGCCAGGACGUAUGACGUAGCCAAAGAAGAAGGAACGGACUUAAUACAUACGACAAAAUCGUCUACUUCUUUAUUCAUCAAAUAC